rnacentral:rRNA from 1 species
AACGAACGCUGGCGGCGUGCUUAACACAUGCAAGUCGAGGGGUAACAGGGAUUGCUUGCAAUCCGCUGACGACCGGCGCACGGGUGCGUAACGCGUAUGCAACCUACCUUCUACAGGGGGAUAGUCAAUAGAAAUGUUGAAUAAUACCCCAUACGAUCAUUAAUCUGCAUGGAUUGAUGAAGAAAGUUCCGGCGGUAGAAGAUGGGCAUGCGUCCUAUUAGUUAGUUGGUAAGGUAACGGCUUACCAAGACAUCGAUAGGUAGGGGUCCUGAGAGGGAGAUCCCCCACACUGGUACUGAGACACGGACCAGACUCCUACGGGAGGCAGCAGUGAGGAAUAUUGGACAAUGGAGGCAACUCUGAUCCAGCCAUGCCGCGUGCAGGAAGACUGCCCUAUGGGUUGUAAACUGCUUUUAUACAGGAAGAAUAGUACCUACGUGUAGGUAUUUGACGGUACUGUACGAAUAAGGAUCGGCUAACUCCGUG